AACGAACGCUGGCGGCAUGCCUAACACAUGCAAGUCGAACGAGACCUUCGGGUCUAGUGGCGCACGGGUGCGUAACGCGUGGGAAUCUGCCCUAGGGUGCGGAAUAACUCGGAGAAAUCCGUGCUAAUACCGCAUAAUGUCUUCGGACCAAAGAUUUAUCGCCCUGGGAUGAGCCCGCGUAGGAUUAGCUAGUUGGUGGGGUAAAGGCCUACCAAGGCGACGAUCCUUAGCUGGUCUGAGAGGAUGAUCAGCCACACUGGGACUGAGACACGGCCCAGACUCCUACGGGAGGCAGCAGUGGGGAAUAUUGGACAAUGGGCGAAAGCCUGAUCCAGCAAUGCCGCGUGAGUGAUGAAGGCCCUAGGGUUGUAAAGCUCUUUUACCCGGGAUGAUAAUGACAGUACCGGGAGAAUAAGCUCCGGCUAACUCCGUGCCAGCCGCCGCGGUAAUAC
rnacentral:rRNA from 1 species